UGUUCAACAAUAAACUCCUUCCAACGACUGUAUCAUUUAGCGAAAAUUUGUUUCUGUACAGGAAAACCUCCAAAAUAUCAGAAAGUGUGUGGUUGAAAAUGUUGCCACAUAACGCCGGUGUAAGCAAAACGUUAACUCCUCUGCCCGCUACGCGCACCGUUAUACAGCCAAUGAGUGUAUGCUAACAACGAUAAGCUCCAUCUCACGCCAUCCCGCGUGCAGCUCAAUUCCGACGGGUAAAAACUCAGGAAACGACCAGGCUUUCGUCUGGGCCUUGGACUCUGUCGGUUCUCCAAAGUUGGAUUUAUCGGACUUUUUGUCACAUUUUGCGGGUGGUAACGACAUUUUUGUCAAUUUGACGCCCCACGAAGACUGAAUUAAACGCCGGUAACUUCCCAUAAAGGUAGGAUAUUGAAACUAUGAAGCCGUUACAGAAGCGAAAAUGACCAUUUCUGAUGCCUACCAGUAACGUAUACAUGUAUAUACAAUAUAUACUAAAUAUUACUGAUAACGCACAUUGUAAAACGAAUUGAACUCAAGUUGUCAAGCUUUGCUGUCGAAGAGGUGACAUACAAAUUGUGAAGCCAAAACGUCAGAGUUUAAGUAAUUUUGUGUAAUACAAAGCGUGAACAUAAUCAAACAUUGUAAUUGAGUGCUGUUACAUUAUUUAGCAAUAUGUCUACAAUUCGGAGUCAAUCAAAUUCACCAAACCCACUAUUUUUAAAGACGAGUCCCUGUUUUGUGUUCAUGUUAAGACAGGAAAGGAGUGUGGGGGGUGUGAGUGUGUGUUACGUGUGUGUGGCUAUAAAUGGCGUUCAAGUGUAAACACAGGAUGUAUUUCAAAUAACUUCUUCGUACCGAAUGAAACGCGAGCACACGCACAGUCAGACAAGCUUCAAGCCAACAUUGUACAAAAUGUUUAACUUGUGUGAGACGGAAGUAGACGGCAAUGACACAUUUUAUCACGGGGUCCGUGUAACCCCGCCACCCACAAUUAACGUUAAUGCGCUGGACACUCCGGCGGCUCUGACCUUGUUGCGGAUCUGACCGGAAGUUGACACUUUCCUUAUUAGUUUCUGUGGGGUUCCGGGCUCCUGCUCCGGUUCGCUGUCGGACGACUCGUCCGGGCACCGAGCGGCUGAAAUCUCCGGUCCCUCCGCCAUCCUGCAUCAGACCACCCGGGAGAGCAGGGGAAGGAGCACCCCCCAGUGGUCGCGAGAGGGCGGCACACCGGAGGCGAUAAAAGCGCCGUCAUGUCGCUUGCGAGUCAACAUUCUGGACCUCCAGAGACUUCCUUUCAUGUUGACAAGGUGCUGGAGAAAGCAGCCCUGAGUAUGUCAAAUCUCGGUGCUUGGGUGACUUGAUGAAGAUAUCAUCUGACCUACUUGAUCUUUAUCACUGGGAUCCGGUCCAGUCCCAGUUCCCACAUGAGACCAGUCCCAGUUUCACAUCGCACUUGAAAGACUACGAAACCCAAAACCGACUGAGGCAUUUUCACACGGAACAAUUUCAGCCCACGCUUCUGUGUCAUCUUCGUCACGGUCAACUUUACCACCACCAUCAUCAUCCAUCAGGGGGAUCAGUCCUGGGUGACCCCGCCUCGCAUUCAAAGUCAGCAGCUGACCCCAUGCAUCAGAGGUAUCCAAAGUGCGGUCUGGGGGCCAUGUGCGGUCCGAUGCUGUUUUUUAUUGUUCCAUGGAAUAUUGUAAAAAAAAAAAAAAAAAAUUGGAAAAAUACAGCAAAAAAGUAAAAUGUAAAGAGAACAAGCUAAAAUGUUACUAAUACUACCAUAUAUAUAUUUUAAA